rnacentral:tRNA from 1 species
GGCCCUCUGGCGCAAUGGUAGCGCUUUCGACUCCAGUUCAUCACAUUGGUGGCAUCGGAAGGUUAUCCGUUCAAAUCGGGUGGGGGUCA